rnacentral:misc_RNA from 1 species
UUUCCGUAGGUGAACCUGCGGAAGGAUCAUUAUUGUAUAACCGAGAUGCGAGGGCUGUCGCUGACCCGAAAGGUCGUGCACGCCCGAGUGCCCUCACACACAUCCAUCUCACCCCUAUGUGCACCACCGCGUGGGUCCCCCUUUGGCUUGUUCGGAGGGGGGCUUACGUUUUCACACAAACUUUGUAUGCAGUGUAGAAUGUAUUUUUUGUUUUUGCGAUCACGCAAUCAAUACAACUUUCAACAACGGAUCUCUUGGCUCUC